ensembl:snRNA U6 U6 spliceosomal RNA
GUGCUCCUGUUCACAGCACAUAUACUAAAAUUGGAAUGAUACAGAGAAAAUUAGCAUGACCCCUGCACAAGGAUGACACACAAAUUUGUGAAGUGUUCCACAUUUUU